UUGGUUUUUUCAGCUCUUUUGAUUUUUCCCGGUCAUCUGUUUUGAAAAGCACGCAGAAUGGAGGCCCGUGGUUGUUAUCUUUGCAAGAAAAGCUGGUGACGGACGGGCAGGGGUCAGCGGGUGAGCAGGACGCCGCACAGACGGAGUGACACUGCCCGGGUGAGCCCUGCAUUAACUAACAGGGGAUGAGAAGUGAGGUCGUGUCUGCGAGGGGCUCAGGCUUCACAUCUGGAACUCCUAAAUGAGAGCAGAACAAAAGCAGAGCUCUUCCCUGGCGGCUCAGUGGCAAAGAAUCCGUCUGCCAGUGUUGGGCGGGGGGGGGGGUGCGGACACAGGAUUGAUUCCUGACCCGGGAAGAUGCCAUGAGCCACGGGGCAACUAAGCCCGCAGGCCACAGCUACUGAAGCCCGAACGCCCUAGAGCUGUGCCCUGAGCCAAGAGACGCCACCGCGAUGAGAAGCCCGUGGACACCACUGGAGAAAAGCCCUGCACGGCAGCAAAGACCCAGCACAGCCAUAAAUAAAUAAAUACGAUUAAAAAGGGAGAGCAGACGGCCUGGGUAGAGUGACACCGCCCCGGGCACUGUAGUCUCAGGAAGGGACCGCGCCCCAUGCUGAGUCAGAGCAGCCCCUCCGCCCCGACCCGGGGUGGCCUCACUCCUGGAUGCCCCCACCCCCCCAACAGGAUCCUCCGGCCUGUCUCCCGUGGGGCCACGUGACAGCUCCCACCCCCGAAACACUUGGCCUGGUGCACCGUGCCAGGGAGCCUGCCUCCCUGCCCGGAGGUUCAGCUUAUCGCUCAGCCCUUCAGCCUCCCAUCGCCUCCAUCCAACCUCGGAGGAAGCAAGAUUCGCCCCUUCAGUCAGUAAGCCCUUAAUCACAGACACGCAGAUAGUUAAGUUGAGAGCAAGCAAACCGAAGACUUCAGUAGCUCCUGUGAACGCUGGCUUACUAACACAGCGUCUGGGACACGGAGGAGGAGGGAUGACCAUCCCCCUGACCGGCUACGUGCUGGCCGCUUGCUCACACGGGUGCGUGGGAAGAAAUCAAACUCCUAUCCUGCUGGUGAUACUUGGGUUUGCAACACAUGUCUGCUCCUCCUCACCACUCUCCUCCUUCACCUAUAAGUUAAUCUUUGCAACGCUUUACGAAACUGAAAUUAUCAUCCAAAACUUACAGAUGAGAAAAUUGAGACUUAGAGAAAUUACAUUGCCCAAAGCUGUCCUGGUGGCUUAGGCAGUAAACAAUCUGUCUGCCAUGGGGGAGACCUGGGUUCCGUCCCUGGGUGGGGAAGAUCCCCUGGAGGAGGGUAUGACAACCCACUCCAGGAUUCUUGCCUGGAGAAUCCCAUGGACAGAGGAGCCUGGCGGGCUACGGUCCACGGGGGUCGCAAAGAGUAAGACACGACUGAGCAACCAAGGCUUUCACUUUCAUUUUCUGUUUUCAAAAGCCCAGAUUUUUUCCAAGGUCCAUGGGAGCCGGCAGCAGUGAAUGUAUUUGUUAAAGCUUGCCAAGGGACUUCCUUGGAGGCCUGGAGGCUAAGAUUCCUAGCUCCCAAUGCAGGAGACAUGGGUUCAAUGCUUGAUCCGGGAACAUGAUCUCACAUGCUACACCUGAGACCUAAAACAACCAAAUAAAUAAAUACUUUUUUUA